CCUACGGGUGGCUGCAGGGAGGAAUAUUGGGCAAUGGACGAGAGUCGGAACCAGCCAAGGAGCGUGAAGGAUGAAGGCCCUAUGGGUUGUAAACUUCGUUUAUAGGGGAAUAAAAUGUGCCACGUGUGGGAUUUUGUAUGUACCAUAUGAAUAAGGAUCGGCUAACUCCGUGCCAGCAGCCGCGGUAAUACGGAGGAUCCGAGCGUUAUCCGGAUUUAUUGGGUUUAAAGGGAGCGUAGGUGGAUUGUUAAGUCAGUUGUGAAAGUUUGCGGCUCAACCGUAAAAUUGCAGUUGAAACUGGCAGUCUUUCGUACCGUAGAGGUGGGCGGCAUUCGUGGUGUAGCGG
rnacentral:rRNA from 1 species